UGGGGAAUAUUGCACAAUGGGCGCAAGCCUGAUGCAGCCAUGCCGCGUGUGUGAAGAAGGCCUUCGGGUUGUAAAGCACUUUCAGCGAGGAGGAAGGUGGUGAGCUUAAUACGCUCAUCAAUUGACGUUACUCGCAGAAGAAGCACCGGCUAACUCCGUGCCAGCAGCCGCGGUAAUACGGAGGGUGCAAGCGUUAAUCGGAAUUACUGGGCGUAAAGCGCACGCAGGCGGUUUGUUAAGUCAGAUGUGAAAUCCCCGGGCUCAACCUGGGAACUGCAUUUGAAACUGGCAAGCUAGAGUCUCGUAGAGGGGGGUAGAAUUCCAGGUGUAGCGGUGAAAUGCGUAGAGAUCUGGAGGAAUACCGGUGGCGAAGGCGGCCCCCUGGACGAAGACUGACGCUCAGGUGCGAAAGCGUGGGGCAGCAAACAGGAUUAGAUACCCUGGUAGUCCACGCUGUAAACGAUGUCGAUUUUGGAGGUUGUGCCCUUGAGGCGUGGCUUCCGGAGCUAACGCGUUAAAUCGACCGCCUGGGGAGUACGGCCGCAAGGUUAAAACUCAAAUGAAUUGC
rnacentral:rRNA from 1 species